rnacentral:lncRNA from 1 species
AACGAUGACACUCUGGCCUAACAGAUUUGUUUCUUUGACAACUUAAUCAGGUGACUCUACUGGUAUAUUCUAUUUUUUUACUAAAGUAGUGCAUAUAUAUGAAUGUGUUGACUUAAGGUCAAUCAAUGCAUGUAUAGUAACAACAAUGAGAUAGAAGGUCCCACCAAUAACAUCGGGAGCUGAAACUUCCUAACAAGCAUAAAUAGCACAAUCCCUAGCAUGAGCUCAAGCUUCAGAUCGUAAAGUUGUGUCUUUCGUUCC